GUCCUAGCCGUAAACGGUGCACGUUUGCUGUAAAAGGAAUCGACCCCUUUUGUGGCGUAGCCAACGCGUUAAACGUGCCGCCUGGGAAGUACGGUCGCAAGAUUAAAACUCAAAGAAAUUGACGGGGGCCUGCACAAGCGGUGGAGUAUGUGGCUCAAUUCGAUGCAACGCGAAGAACCUUACCUGGCCUUGACAUGCAAGUAGUAGAAGGAUGAAAGUCUGACGAUCCCGCAAGGGAAGCUUGCACAGGUGCUGCAUGGCUGUCGU
rnacentral:rRNA from 1 species